CAACGAUAAAGGGGGUGAGAAACCCCCUCGCCGAAAGACUAAGGUUUCCUGAUCAACGCUAAUCGGAUCAGGGUUAGUCGGGUCCUAAGGCUCAGCCGAACGGUGAGGCCGAUGGCAGAACAGGUUAAUAUUCCUGUACUACCUUAAAGAGUGACGUGGAGACGGAGGCGUGACAGUGCCGCGGACUGACGGAAUAGUCCGUUGAAGGGUGUAGAUGUUGAUCGGGGUAGGCAAAUCCGCUCCGAGAGUCGAACCUGAUAGUAUGGAGCGUUCUUCGGAACAAUCCAAUAGUGCAUGUAAACAUACUCCCAAGAAAAUCCGCUAAACUUAAUCUUUAAGGUACCCGUACCGCAAACGGACACACGUAGUCGGGUUGAAUAUACUAAGGCGCUUGAGUGAUUCACGGUUAAGGAACUAGGCAAAUUGACCCUGUAACUUCGGGAUAAAGGGUCCCCACUGUAAGGUGGGGCGCAGAGAAUCGGUCCAGGCAACUGUUUAACAAAAACACAGGGCUGUGCAAAAUUGAAAGAUGAAGUAUACAGCCUGACACCUGCCCGGUGCUGGAAGGUUAAGAGGAGAUGUCAUCGCAAGAGAAGCAUUGAAUUGAAGCCCCAGUAAACGGCGGCCGUAACAAUAACGGUCCUAAGGUAGCGAAAUUCCUUGUCGGGUAAGUUCCGACCUGCACGAAUGGUGUAAUGAUCUGGACACUGUCUCAACCGUGAGCUCAGUGAAAUUGUAGUAUCGGUGAAGAUGCCGAUUACCCGCGAUGGGACGAAAAGACCCCGUGAACCUUUACUAUAGCUUAACAUUGAAUUUGGGUAAUUGAUGUGUAGGAUAGGCCGGAGGCUUUGAAGCAGGUACGCCAGUAUUUGUGGAGCCGCUGUUGAAAUACGGCCCUUUGGUUAUUUGAGUUCUAACUCGUGAUACGAGGACACUGUUUGGUGGGUAGUUUGACUGGGGUGGUCGCCUCCAAAAACGUAACGGAGGCUUCUAAAGGUGCCCUCACGACGAUUGGUAACCGUCGGCAGAGUGUAAUGGCAUAAGGGCGCUUGACUGGGAGACUAACAAGUCGAUCAGGUAGGAAACUAGAGCAUAGUGAUCCGGUGUUUCUGUAUGGAAAGGACAUCGCUCAAAGGAUAAAAGGUACUCCGGGGAUAACAGGCUGAUCCCUCCCAAGAGCUCAUAUCGACGGAGGGGUUUGGCACCUCGAUGUCGGCUCGUCACAUCCUGGGGCUGGAGAAGGUCCCAAGGGUUGGGCUGUUCGCCCAUUAAAGUGGCACGCGAGCUGGGUUCAGAACGUCGUGAGACAGUUCGGUCUCUAUCUAUCGUGGGCGUAUGAAAUUUGCGUGGCUCUGACACUAGUACGAGAGGACCGUGUUGGACUGACCUCUGGUUUACCAGUUGUGCCGCCAGGUGCAUUGCUGGGUAUCUAAGUCGGGAUUGGAUAAGUGCUGAAAGCAUCUAAGUACGAAGCCAGCCACAAGAUUAGAUUUCUUAGGGUCGUCAAAGACGAUGACGUUGAUAGGAUGCAGGUGUACAGGUGGUAACAUCAUAGCCGAGCAUUACUAAUUGCCU
rnacentral:rRNA from 1 species